rfam:Rattus norvegicus chromosome 4, whole genome shotgun sequence.
GGGGAUUUAGCUCAGUGGUAGAGCACUUGCCUAGCAAGCACAAGGUCCUGGGUUCGGUCCCCAGCUCCG